CAAAAGAUGUUUCAUCUUUGCUGUAAGUGAAAUACAUAAAAAUGAUUAAGUGAAACUUUACACGUAAAGAUCCAUGAUGAAAUCCACCAGCCAAAAGUAUGAUUAACCAUUAGUAGCAGGCAUCAAAUAAUCGCAUCACAUUCCUCAAUAACAGAGCAACAUUGCCUUUGAGAAUAAGGAGAGGAACGCGUAUAGUAUGCCGGUCGCAGCAUUACUCAGCGUGAAGAAUGACGAAGGUGGCGAAGAAGGUGUGUAGUCGUCAAUGUUGGUAGUAGUGACGGUAGCGAUGACUGUGUGCAAGGAAAAUACGGUUGGAGAAUCAGAGAGAGAGAGAGAGAUAAGUGGAGAGAGAAUAAUAAAAGGAAUAAAAAAAUAAGAGCCGAAGAAGGGAAGUGCGUAAUAAAGGAGGGCGUACGAGUACGAUGCACCUGCGUCUCUCUUCCUUCUCCAUCUCGUUCUUCGCCAGCCCAACCAAUCAACUUUGUACAUCACAAAGUCACAGCUGUGAACCGGCAACCGGCCACGAGGAGUCUUACGGCCCCUUGAACCAUGCGUGACUUUUGCGCACGACGAUACUCUCCUCCCUUCCUCCCACUGACAACUGCUUGAUACCAGCGGCACCGGUUGAAUUCCGUAAAACCACGAAAUUGCUCAGUCAAGUCUGAUUAUAUAGCGCGCGUCAAAACGAACUCAUUGAAUGUGCUAUCUGGUGCAGCUGCAAUUAGUACCGUCCCGGACGAAUCUUUCUGGAAUAAUGAAUCUCCAUUGACUGUCGACGUUAUUCCAAAUGAUGCAGAACUAUUCAAGGUUAACCGUGGUAGCUCGUGACGGAAUUCGUGCUAGACGUGGUCUUCUUUUUUAUUUUCCUAGUAACUAACCGAUAGGUUGCUUUCACUUGCGACAGAGACACGUCACGUAUAACUACGCAAAUAUUACAUAUAUGUAUAGUAUGCAAACAGUUAAUAGAGAUCGUUCAUCUAUAAGAUUGUCUAAAUAAUUUUAUGUACUAGACAGUAUCUUCUUACGCACUCAUCGAGUCUUACAUUAACCAACCUAUGAAGACUGUACUGUAUAUCACAAAUGAUAAUUUAAAAAAUCAAUUUUAUACUGAACAAAAAAAUUCUAAAGUCCAAUCCUGUUCCAUAUGUCUUGAAGGAUCAUUCAGUCGUAGGAGUUGCUCCGAAUCCCUUAUCUGAAUUUGUAUUAUUUGCAUGCAGAUGUGAUGAAGAUCUGCACAUGCGUCUUAUCGUUUGCGUAUACUCCUAUAUACAGGACUCUUGUAACCCAACUAUUCGCCACGUGGGUGUGACACACAUUUUUCUCUUGUAGAACACAUGUGUUCAGACUCCACGCUCUCUCUUUAACUAGUCACGUGUGUGUAUGAGUGAAGAUAUAUAUACAGAUAAAAAGGUGUCUCAAGCGAAGGUAAAUAAUAGUGCCAUAUAAUUCAAAGAGAAAGAGACGAGACGGUACGCGAGACGCUUUUCCAAGUGUCUGAGUGUCAGCUCGUAAGAUCGUAUAGAAAUUGACAGCGCGAGGAAUGCGCGGAAUUCCAGUCGCAGAGCGAGAAUAGUGGAAUGCGAAAAUGUCCGUGAACGAGAUGAAAGAGGAGAAUUCGUGGCUGUCUUCUUUAUUUGGCGGCUCCUAUAGCGACAUCAGGUUGGGCGACUACGAGAGGCCAAGUAGUGACGUAUGAUGGUUGAUUAUUGAAUGAUGGAAAAGGAACGGCAAACGAUAAGAGAUGUUGCAGAUGCCACGAAGUACGUCCUUUGCGUUUUAAACGACACGGAUAACACGCAUGAAAGACAAUAGAUUGUGAAAGAAGUUUGUGGAACAAUAUCAUCGAUGGAUGACGAGAAUUCGAAUGAGUCGAAGAAUCAUUGUGCUUGAAAAUGAUGGAUGAUCAUGGGAAAAAUUUACAACGCUUCACUGAUGGGUUUAAUUUAUAACGUAAUAGCUUUGGCAUGGAAUUAUUUCUGCGUGGCUUCAUUUGAUUAGUCAUUCUUAAAUCGACUGGAUAUUUGCGGAGAUUUGAUUGCAGGAAGUUAUCAAUUCUUAGCUAGCAAAAAAAAGUAAUAUCUGAAAACAUCACCAUUAGUUUCAUAAUGAUUGGUUUAUAGUAUUAUGGCCUUACGAAUGUUAUUUUUAAUUUAAUUUAUUAUCUCCCUCUAAUCUUGACAUUGUUUUAAUCAUUAAAUUACUAUUUUCAUAAUUUAAAAACAUAGUAGACUCUAUGCCAGGUCUCCUAUGAAAUUUUUUUUAUUCAACGCGUUUAGUACACCCUGUAUAAAUUCUUACACGUAAUUCCUAUCCGUAUCGAAUACGCAUUGAUUGAUUCGAAUACCGACUAAUCGACGUAGCAGUAUAAAAAAAUUGCCGAGUUCAAUAAUGAAUCUAGACAUCAUUAAAUGUCUAUUUGCAAAAAGAGAAUCUUAUAUAACUCAAAUAGAUAUUAAUCAUUUGAUCUCCAGGGUGUGAAAAAAAUGUUAAAAAUUAUCAAUAACAUUCGUACCAGAAAAAGGAUUUGAAAUCGUUAAUAUGUCACCGAUCGUUGUCAGGUUUUUUAAAAAUUAAUUUAUACGUAUAAUUCAGGCCUUGCGGGUAUCGAUGCUUUUUUUGUUCUCUAUCAAUAUCACCAGAUCGUGACGAAUUAUUCUAAAUCGACCCUGUCCCACGACACUGAUCCUUUCAAUUUGUAUUUCGUGUUCAUCUAGGACACGCGAAUCAGCGUCGCCCACAGAAUCAUCAUUUAUGGAAGCUUGCAAGGCAACCUGGCAUUUAAUCAAUGUCGUGAAAGUCUUUACCCAGACUAAACCCACCAUAAGGCAUACUUCAAGAUCCGUCCUAGUAACAUUAAAAAGUACGCCGGCAAACAUUUCCUCAACAGAUAUACAAAAGAGUUAGAAAUAAACCGUGAGAAUCCAUAUUCCGUUAAACACGUGUUCUCAGUGAGCUACACUAAUCUAGUUAACUGUGUCAACCGAAGUCAAAGAAUUGUAACAAAACUUAUUGGACUAUUCAGAACAAAAUUUUCAUUAAUCAAA